AAACGAGGAUUAUUGGCAAUGAAAUAAGUUUCGUCGUCAAAAGUUUGAUCCUUGUUCUAUCCGCCCGACUCUACCCCUACCCUUUUCUUCGUUCUAUCCGCCUCCCCUUCUUUUCGUUCUGUACGCCGCCCACCCUCCCUUUUUCUCAGAUCUGUCAGCUGCCCACCCUCCUUUAUCUCCCGAUCGCCGACCGCCAACCUCCCCCCUCUUCCCCUUCUCCCUCCCUUGCCCCCUUCUCCCCUCCUUCCGCGACCAAUUCUCCUUCCCUUGCCCCCUUCGUUCUGUCCGCUGACCGCCCCCUCUCGCCGCCUUUUUUCUUCCAUGUCGACUGCCCCCCACCGCCCCCUCCCUCUUCUGCCGCCGACCACCUCUUCUCCUCUCUUAACCAUUCUCCCUCCUUUAUGUUCUGCUUGCCGAUCGCCUCCGCCACCUCCACCUCUUCCAUGACGCCGCCGACCGCCACCAGUGCCUCUUCGGUCAACUCCGCUGCCCAUUUUAUGCCAAUCGCCGUCCACUAUCACAUUUUUGGAUGUGUUUUCUUUUUUUCUUUUUAUUUUUAUGUUUGCUUUAAAUUUAUGUAUAUGAUUCUUAUUUCGUUUUUUGUUAGAGAUUUAGGGUUUAACAAUACAUGUAGAUUAUAUUGAUGUUUUAUAUGUAUUGAAUUUGAGAAAUUGUGAAAGUUAUUUUUCAUUUUGGCUUGAAUUUCAUAUAGAUUAUUUAUGUUUCGACUAAUGUUAAUAGAGAGAAGAAUUUGAGAAAAUUUGAAGGUUCCUAGGUGGGGAACUAGUUGGGAAGUUGUUGUUUGAGUUCGUGUUUUUGGAAAAUUUGAAGAUUUUGUAACUUUAUUUUAUUAAUAGAAAUAGAAGAACUCGUGAAAUAUUGAAAGUGGGUGUGUGAGGGGAUUAGUGUGUAGGUUGUUUUAGUUUGUGUUUUGAGAAAUUUCAACAUUUUGGAUCUUUAUUUCAAAAUUUGAGAAUUUUAGGAAUUUUUUUUUUUUUGUGUCUUUGUGUUUCAAAAUUUUGAAGAUUUUAAUUAUGACAAUUUUUUUAGUGGGUUUUUGUUGAUUUCUAUUCAAGCGUCCAAAUUAUAGUGAAUAGACUUUAAUGGGUAGUUUAAUUGUGAUUUAAAUGUAUAUAUAAUUAAUCCUAGUUAUAUGUAUUCCAUUUGGUUUUUAUUUCAUGAGUUUUCUUAGGUUGGAAUUUAUAUGUUUGGCUUUGAGCUCGUGGUCAGUAUCGUAUUUGGUUCCCGACGUUCACUGUAACUUGUGUUGAAGUAUGUUGAGUAUUAAUUUUUAAUUAGUUUAAUUUGAUUUUGACUUCGUUUUUUUGGUUGUGAACGCGCUGAUGUUACUUGUUUAAUUUUAUUUCUUAGUUUGGUACAUCUUAACUAUUUUAGUUUCGAGCAUGUUGGUGUGAUUGUGAACUCUUUAAUUAAGUUGUGAGUGUGUGAAAAUGUUGUUUGUUUGAUUUAACUUCUUGGUUUUGUAAGUAUGAACUAUUUUGUUUGGUAGUGUGUUGAUUUUAUUGUAAAUUAUUCGUUGCUAAUGUUGCUUCUGAUUGAUCUAAUUUGUUAGUUUUGUAAAGUAUGAACUAUUUUAGCUGCACCUGAUGGUUUAAUUAAUAGUUACUUAAGCAAAUUUAAUUUUGAAAUAUCAAGGUGAGCUCUCUAAAUAUAUAAUUAGAUUUGAGUUAUAUCUUAGCUAGUUUACUUCUUUCUUUAGUGUCUAUAUCUUAGAGAUAUAUCUAAGCUCUCAAUAAUACUUCCAAAUUCAUCUUACUUUUUAUUAUAACAUUCAUCCUCAAUAAUGACCACCCCUAUUAUCAACUUGACAAAAUAAAUAUAAUCUUUUGUCGGGUCCUUUUAGGAUUCAACAUUGCCUAUUUAUAUUGAAUUGAGGGUUAUUUGAACAGUAUUAUCAUUGAGAAUAAAUAAAGAUUGGACUAAAGUUAGAGAUAGGUCUUCGUUCGAGUACGUAGAAGGAGUAAAAUAGUUCAUAGAAUUGGCAAAACUUCACAUCAACACGGGUAAAACAAGAUGUCCAUGUAGAUAUUGUAUGAAUUUAAAGUGGCAUUCAAUUGAUGGAAUAAAAAUUACUCAAUAUGUUUUAUCAUUUUGUAUGAUGCAACAGUAAUAACAUUUCACUUGUUCGGUGUUUUUUUUUUGUAGGGUCAUUUCGAUUUCGGCGAGUCAAACCCAGUUAUUAUGAGUUUCCUCGAUCAUGCGAUGCAAUCAAUAAAUCAGGCGUACAGGGUAAAAUUGCACAAAUACUACAUAAGUCAUCCCACACUUGAAAUUGCUCGUAACACUCCGCCUGAGCGGUUGUUGGCAAGAUCAAACGAUUAGAACAUGUUAUGCGAUAGAUGAGAGACAAUGAGUGAAAGCAAAAAUCUGAGACCAACAAACACAACAAGGCAACGCGCCCAUUCAAGCAUUGUGCGGGGUCAGAGACGUUUGCUAUUAUUGCCAAGGAGAAGAAAGAGCAAGAUAGAGACAAAAAUUUUCGUGAAAUCUAUUGGUUUAGGGAAACUAGAUACUCCGAUUUUUAAGGUUGGGUCGAAAGUGCGGAUACAACUUAUUUAGAGAUGAUGCUUGUUAGAGAAUAAUCUAUGCAAGACGGAGGCGAACCGAUGCCAGACCCAAACGUACUGGAAACAACGCUUGUGCAUCGAUCGUGGUAUGUUAAAAGUGCUAGUUGGGACCCAAAACCUAAAUCUCGUAAAGGUUCUGCUUCAAGUACAAAUUCUUCACAGCGAGAACAAGAGCUUUCUGAAGAAAUACAUACCUUAAGAGAAGAAUUUGAGGAGCGUCUCUCAUAGAAACAAAAAGAGUUAGAGGAGCGUCUGUCACAAAAAAGAUUACGAGUCUACACGGUGAAAUGUCAGAUUAGCAUCGAUCGUGGUAUGUUAAAACUACUGGUUGGGACCCAGCUUGUUAAAAAUAGGUACGUCUACAUAGAGUUUUGUUAGAAUUUAAUAACUGUAAAUGUAGCUAUCCUGUAGUUAUGGUAGCCAUUUGAAGUUUGUUUGAUUAGUUUUUGUUAACUUUGAACGGAAGUGUCGGGGGGAGGGCGGUGGGUGGGGUCAUCUUAUACGUACUUUUUCUUUAGUGUGUGCAAUUUGGAUUGAAUUUGAAUGUUAUAUAGAUAUGUUUUUGAUCAA